rnacentral:rRNA from 1 species
GACGUAGGGGGCCAGCGUUGUUCGGAAUUACUGGGUGUAAAGGGUUCGUAGGCGGUGUGGCAAGUCGGGAGUGAAAUCUCUGGGCUCAACCCAGAGACUGCUUCCGAAACUGCUGUGCUUGAGUGUGAGAGAGGCUCGUGGAAUUGCAGGUGUAGCGGUGAAAUGCGUAGAUAUCUGCAGGAACACCCGUGGCGAAAGCGGCGAGCUGGAUCACUACUGACGCUGAGGAACGAAAGCUAGGUGAGCAAACAGG